GAUGAACGCUGGCGGCGUGCCUAAUACAUGCAAGUCGAGCGAACAGAUGAGGAGCUUGCUCCUCUGACGUUAGCGGCGGACGGGUGAGUAACACGUGGAUAACCUACCUAUAAGACUGGGAUAACUUCGGGAAACCGGAGCUAAUACCGGAUAAUAUAUUGAACCGCAUGGUUCAAUAGUGAAAGACGGUUUUGCUGUCACUUAUAGAUGGAUCCGCGCCGCAUUAGCUAGUUGGUAAGGUAACGGCUUACCAAGGCAACGAUGCGUAGCCGACCUGAGAGGGGGAUCGGCCACACUGGAACUGAGACACGGUCCAGACUCCUACGGGAGGCAGCAGUAGGGAAUCUUCCGCAAUGGGCGAAAGCCUGACGAAGCAACGCCGCGUGAGUGAUGAAGGUCUUCGGAUCGUAAAACUCUGUUAUUAGGGAAGAACAAAUGUGUAAGUAACUAUGCACGUCUUGACGGUACCUAAUCAGAAAGCCACGGCUAACUACGUG
rnacentral:rRNA from 1 species